GGGGAAAAAUUAAUAAAAUAUAAGUAAUAAAAAAAUUUUUAAUAUUGGGGGGUAUUAAAGUAUUUUUUUAAGAAAAAAUAAAUUAUUUUAUAGUGUAUUAGUAUUGAAAAAGAAAUUUGAAAUAAAUGAAAAUAAAUUAUUAAUAAAGUAAUUUUAAUUUAGUGUAUCUUGUGUAUCAGAGUUUAUUAAAAAAUAUUUUUUAAAAAAAAAAAAUCUCGAAUUUAAAAGAGUUAAUUAAUUAAUAAAGUUAAUGUAGAAAAAUUAUUUUAAAUAAUUAAUUUGAAAUGAAAUGUUAAUCGUUUUUAAAUAUAUCUAGUUAUUUUAGAAAAAAAUUUAAUUUAAAAUUUAAAAAAUUUUAUUAUUAAUUAAAUAAUUAAUAAUAAAAUAUUUAAAAUUAAAUAUAUUAAGGGAUAAGCUUUAAUAUAAAAAUUUAUAAUAAAUAUGUUUAAAUUAUAAAAAUUUUAAAAUUUAUAUUGUUUAAAAAUUAUAAUUUAUUAUAAAAAAUUUUAUAAAAAAUAAAAUUUAAUAUAAAAUUUAAUUUUAUAUAAAAUAAUAAUUAAAAAUAAUAAAAAAUUAAAAAUAAUGAUAAAAUUAGUAUAUUAUAAAUUAAAAUAAAUUUUAAUUAAUAAAAAUUAAAUUAAAGGAAUUCGGCAAAAUUUUAUAUUCACUUGUUUAUCAAAAACAUGUCUUUUAGAAAAUAAUUUAAAGUCUAAUCUGCCCACUGAUAAAUAUAUUAAAGGGCUGCAGUAUAUUGACUGUACAAAGGUAGCAUAAUCAAUAGUCUUUUAAUUGAAGACUUGAAUGAAAGAUUUGAUGAAAUAUAUUCUGUCUCUGAUUUAUAUAUAAAAUUUAAUUUUUUAGUUAAAAAGCUAAAAUGAAUUUAAAAGACGAGAAGACCCUAUAGAGUUUUAUAUUGAUAUUAUUUAAGAUUGUAUUUAUAAAUAAAAAUUAAAAAUAAUAUAAAUAUUUUAUUGGGGUGAUAAAAAAAUUAAUUUAACUUUUUUAGUUAAUUAACAUAAAUAAGUGAAUAAAUGAUCCAUAAUUUAUGAUUAAAAGAAAAAAUUACCUUAGGGAUAACAGCGUAAUAUUUUUUUUUAGUACAAAUAAAAAAAAAAGUUUGCGACCUCGAUGUUGGAUUAAGAUAAAAUUUAAAUGCAAAAGUUUAAAGUUUUGAUCUGUUCGAUCAUUAAAAUCUUACAUGAUCUGAGUUCAAACCGGUGUGAGCCAGGUUGGUUUCUAUCUUUAAAAUUAAUAAAAUAUUUUAGUACGAAAGGAUCAAAUAUUUUUAAUAAUUAAAAUUUAUGAAUAUUAAUAAUUUAAUU
rnacentral:rRNA from 1 species